rnacentral:rRNA from 1 species
UGUGCCCUACGGGAGCAGCAGUGGGGAAUAUUGCACAAUGGGGGGAACCCUGAUGCAGCAAUGCCGCGUGGGUGAAGAAGCACUCCGGUGCGUAAAGCCCUGUCAGCAGGGAAGAAAAUGACAGUACCUGGACAAGAAGCCCCGGCUAACUACGUGCCAGCAGCCGCGGUAAUACGUAGGGGGCAAGCGUUAUCCGGAUUUACUGGGUGUAAAGGGAGCGCAGGCGGCGUGGCAAGUCAGAUGUGAAAACCCGGGGCCCAACCCCGGGAGUGCAUUUGAAACUGCCAUGCUGGCGUGCCGGCGAG